AUGACGCGUAACCCAAGAGAGGAGGCCACGACCGAUCAGGUAGUUAGUGAGAUAAUGGCUCACCAAGCCUUUAACCGGUACGGCCCCUGAGACCGAUAACCCGGAGAUGGGCACUGAUACAAGGGCCCAGGCCCUACGGGGCGCAGCAGUCGCGAAAACUCCGCAAUUCACGAAAGUGUGACGGGGCCAUCCCGAGUGCCAUCCGCUGAGGAUAGCUUUUCCCUAGUGUACAAAGCUGGGGGAAUAAGGAGAGGGCAAGCCUGGUGUCAGCCGCCGCGGUAA
rnacentral:rRNA from 1 species